rfam:Gossypium hirsutum cultivar TM-1 chromosome 11, whole genome shotgun sequence
UGUUAAAAAUUUCGUUCAUUUUUACUGUUAAAAAUUGACGUGGUUGACAAAAUAACCAGAUAGUUACAUGUGACAUGCCAUAUGUACCUUAUUCUGAUGUAUAGUAACCAGUUUUUUACCGUAGAAAUGGAUGGAAUUCUUAAUA